GACGAACCGAGCGAACGUUGUUCGGAAUCACUGGGCUUAAAGGGCGCGUAGGCGGGUGCUCAAGUCUGUGGUGAAAUCCUCCAGCUUAACUGGAGAACUGCCAUGGAUACUGGGUGUCUCGAGGAACGUAGGGGUAUGCGGAACGAUUGGUGGAGCGGUGAAAUGCGUUGAUAUCGAUAGGAACUCCGGUGGCGAAGGCGGCAUACUGGACCACAUCUGACGCUGAGGCGCGAAAGCCAGGGGAGCAAACAGG
rnacentral:rRNA from 1 species